UUCAGCGCCUGUUGGAAUUGAGAGAUGCCUAGAUCCUGAAAUUGGAAGCUCAAGUCCGUAAACUGGGUGAGUACAAUGAAGACCUUUCAGCUCAGUUGAGGUAGGAGCCGAUAGAAGGAUUGGAGGAGGACAAAGAUUUGCAAUUGGAAUCGGAAUCGGUGGAACCAAUAACAGAUACUGUGGCAAUUGAUUAAUUAGAUAGGCCAGAGGGAUUGCAAUUUUUUUAGAGUUUUAAGAGAUAAUUUUUAGAUAGGUAUCAAUUGAGUGUUUGUGAGGACGCUGCACAGUUAGGAGUGGGGCUAUGUAGAAUAAGUAGUUAUUUUCACAAUGUAGAUACCUAGUGUAUAGUGUAAACAGGAAUAGAUAACUGCUGAAAAGGUGGUUUAGCAUGUAGAAUGGAUGAAUAAUCAAGAAAAGUAAUUAUCAUUUGUAGUAUAGGAGUUGGUAUCUCGGGGUAGUAUAAGGAGGAUGGGAGAGGGGAAGAAAAUGCCAGACUGUGAGAGUUGUGAGCCGAGGUAAGCUUGAUGCUACCUCUUUUCUUUUAUUUGUUAUUUUCUUGGAAUAAGAGGAUUGAAAGUUUCUGAAUAUUGUGAAGUGAAUUAUGGAAUGGAAAUGUGAUUGGUAUUAUUUGAGAAGAAGAAAGAUUGAAUGCUGAAAUCUGAUUGUAGUUCAGCAGAGAGAAUGAGUCUGUGUUUGUAUGAAACAUUGUAAUGUGAAUGGCAGUUCUGUGUGAAGAAUU
rnacentral:lncRNA from 1 species